ACGACCUUACUUGAACAGGACCCGUUCUAUAGGCCGUACCUCUGUGUUCUUGAUCUUAAAGAGACAAGCCCUUAACCCUGGUUGAUGGUACAUGGCCGUGCGAUUAGAGCGUGAUUAACGGCUGCGACCAUCGUAGGAUGUGUUCGGUGCUGUAGAGGAUCGUUACUCGGCUCGAUUCUAUCCUUGCCGGGGUGGUUGCACGGCAGUCUGACAGGCU
rfam:Brassica rapa chromosome A10, whole genome shotgun sequence.